rnacentral:rRNA from 1 species
ACUCCAGACUCCUACGGGAGGCAGCAGUGGGGAAUAUUGCACAAUGGGGGAAACCCUGAUGCAGCGACGCCGCGUGAAGGAAGAAGUAUUUCGGUAUGUAAACUUCUAUCAGCAGGGAAGAAAAUGACGGUACCUGACUAAGAAGCCCCGGCUAACUACGUACCAGCAGCCGCGGUAAUACGUAGGGGGCAAGCGUUAUCCGGAUUCACUGGGUGUAAAGGGAGCGUAGACGGCCAUGCAAGCCAGGGGUGAAAGCCCGGGGCCCAACCCCGGGACUGCCCUUGGAACUGCAUGGCUGGAGUGCGGGAGGGGCAGGCGGAAUUCCUAGUGUAGCGGUGAAAUGCGUAGAUAUUAGGAGGAACACCAGUGGCGAAGGCGGCUUACUGGACUGUAACUGACGUUGAGGCUCGAAAGCGUGGGGAGCAAACAGGAUUAGAUACCCUAGUA